AUGAACGCUGGCGGCGUGCCUAAUACCUGCAAGUCGAGCGAACAGACGAGGAGCUUGCUCCUCUGACGUUAGCGGCGGACGGGUGAGUAACACGUGGAUAACCUACCUAUAAGACUGGGAUAACUUCGGGAAACCGGAGCUAAUACCGGAUAAUAUAUUGAACCGCAUGGUUCAAUAGUGAAAGACGGUUUUGCUGUCACUUAUAGAUGGAUCCGCACCGCAUUAGCUAGUUGGUAAGGUAACGGCUUACCAAGGCAACGAUGCGUAGCCGACCUGAGAGGGUGAUCGGCCACACUGGAACUGAGACACGGUCCAGACUCCUACGGGAGGCAGCAGUAGGGAAUCUUCCGCAAUGGGCGAAAGCCUGACGGAGCAACGCCGCGUGAGUGAUGAAGGUCUUCGGAUCGUAAAACUCUGUUAUUAGGGAAGAACAAAUGUGUAAGUAACUAUGCACGUCUUGACGGUACCUAAUCAGAAAGCCACGGCUAACUACGUG
rnacentral:rRNA from 1 species